rnacentral:sRNA from 1 species
GCCAGGUAUGGUGGCGUAUGUCUGUAAUCCCAGAGACUGGGGAGGCUGAGACAGGAGGAUUACAAAUUCAAAGGCCACUUCAGCAAGUUUUAGUGAAGCCCUAAGCAACUUUAGAAGACUCUGUCUCUA